rnacentral:rRNA from 1 species
UGGGGAAUAUUGCACAAUGGGGGGAAACCCUGAUGCAGCCAUGCCGCGUGUGUGAAGAAGGCCUUCGGGUUGUAAAGCACUUUUGCAUUCGAGGAAGACAGCGUGUAAAUAAACGCGUUAUUUGACGUUAGAGUGUGAAUAAGCACCGGCAAACUCCGUGCCAGCAGCCGCGGUAAUACGGAGGGUGCAAGCGUUAUCCGGAUUUAUGGGUUUAAAGGGUGCGUAGGCUGUAAGUCAAGUCGGCGGUGAAAAGUCGGGGCUAAACCUUGAGGGUGCCGUUGAAACUGAUUUACUAGAAUGUGGAUGAUGCCGGCGGAAUGUGUCAAGUAGCGGUGAAAUGCAUAGAUAUGACACAGAAGGCCGAUUGCGAAGGCAGCUGGCAAAGGCACGAUUGACGCUGAGGCACGAAAGUGCGGGGAUCGAACAGGAUUA